ACUCAGAAGCACUGCGGCUUUCUGCUUCCUUCCGUACCUUGUUUAACACAUCCAGCCCUGCAACAUCUCACUUGACUCCAGUCUACACACCUUCAUUUCCUCACAGCCAGGCUGUAAGUAAGUAGUAUUGGAUUCACAGGUAUGACGACAGUUUGAAAUUCCAAAGACAGGGAACAGUAUCUUUUUACAGCAUGUUCAGAGGCAGUGCUGGGGCCAGCAGUUCCCAAGGGCAGGAACACUGUCUGGUUUAUCUUUGUUAUGUCAUUUCCUGGAUGGCCCCCAGUGGGAAUGUUUCCCGGUGCUCCCUCAGGAAUGUUAGGACAGCCAUGGAGGAAAGCAAGAACCACCCGAUUCUGACAUCACACCAUUCUAAACAAUACUAAUGAUCUUCAGCACCAAAGGAGCUGAACAAAUAGGAGUAAAAGGAAAGUGGCCUCAACGUCGCUGAGAAGGUCGUCAGAGAAUUGAGCCAAGAUGAAUAAUAUCUUGUCCUCAUGUCCAGAUAAAUCACAGUCCAGAGUACCAUGAAAACUUGUGGGCACGGAUGCAGAAUUGCACCCUACAACUCUCCAGGAAGUGGAAAGCCUGGGAGAGGGGCCAGAAAAUGGAAUACAUGUCUGGGAGAAACACUGUCUGCUUCUCCAAACGAGGCAAAGAUGAAGACUGAGAACAGAUAGCCAGACUGCUUGAUGGUAGAUCCUGACGCAAGUCCCGGAUGGCGGGAUGGUGUAUGAGCCCCUCCCAGAGCCCUCACCCAGGGGCGAGCAGGAGCGGGAGAGACAUGGUCGGUGGAUUUGUAGCUGGCGAUGGUCCAACAACUGUAGGUGGUGAGGGCUGGGCAAGGGAUUGCUGCCCCAGGAGCCAGGCGGGAAUGUCUCCUGACUGUGCUCAGCCCUGCCCGGUGCUGCCGUUUUGUUAGUAACUUGCAUGAAGACAGAGCAAGGCCGCUGAUCAUACGGGGGGAUGACACAGAGCUGGAAUCUAAUUCUUGGGAUGUCGAAUCAAGAUUUGCAAAGAUGAAGACCCAUCACCCUGGAAGAAUGAGAAGAAACAGGCAAAAUAGAAUCUAAAACUCUGAGCGUCACACAACCCACCCUAUAAGGAAAGAAUGGAGAGUUCUGGCUCAACACCAUGCUGUGCAAGGAGCAGGUUGGGGGAGAAAAAAACGGAGUGUCCUGAAUUCAACCCAGAGUUUUAAACACUGUCACAAAAGCUGGUGGGCUGCACUCUAGAGCAGUGUCCCCAAACUUCUGUUUCUGUGGGCCACUUUCAUGAUGUCUGCCAUAACUGCAGGCCACCUGUGCUCUUGCCAGCAAGAAAAUGAGGACUUCAGUCCUGCAACCACAAGGAGCUGAGUUCCGCCUGCAGCCCAAGUGAGCACGAAGCAGGAUGUCCCCUGGAGACCCCAGGAUGAAGCUCCACUUGCUGAUACCUGAAUUUGACUCUGGUGAGAUUUGUGCUGGACUUCUGAUCAGCAGGACACUGAGAUUAAAAAAGGUGUCAGUUGGACUUGCCGAUGAUUUCUGGAGCCCAGCCGGCCUCUGAGAUUUCGGGUUACCUCAGUUUCUUCACCUCCAAGUCUAGCAGGUAUGCAUCAGGCACAGGACAGAGGACUGAGGAGACAGCAGCCCCAGGAGGCUGGUUCCUGAUCUGCUGUCUGCUGCCUGGGAGGCCCCAUCAGAAAACUGGGGCUGGCGGCACAUUAGACUCUCCUGCGCCUGCGCCUGCCCCUGCCUGUCUCCACGAGGCACCCUGCAGGCUUGGCCAGGAUGGUGGCUGAGGAGUGGGGAAAUCUGGGGAGGCGAGCUCAGCUGAGCUGCUGUGCAGGCUAAGCCUGCCGCUGCUGGGGUCAGCCUUCAUCAGGGUGCCUGGCUCUGCCCUCCUCUUCUCUAGGGCAAAGUCCUAAUGCUGUAGCAGCCGGGAUCUGCCCCUCCCCACCUCCUGCCCCUGCUCUUGAUGGGAAACAUGCCCAUCGUUGAAUGUCCCAACCAGGCAGCACUCCUUUCAUUCCCUUUGUCUCUCCAUGCACUAUUUGUCUUGUCUGGGUGCAUCUGCCUCACCCCCUACAAAAUUCCCCUCCCCGGAAAGCUCCCCGGUGACUCCCCAACUCUCUCCUCUGGCUGGAUGAUGUUAGAUGCUUCUCCCAAGCUCCCACACACACCCUCUUGGCUUCCCCUGCAUAUAUCCACCUCCCUCACAGAUCACAAGCUCCCCAAAGGCAGGGGCUGGCACCACUUUAUCUUUCUUCACGGCGCUUAGCCCAGAGCCUGCAAAGAAGUGCCUGUCAAAUAAAAGAACCAACAGUGAACAUGGCAUGAAUAAAUGAGUGAAUGAAUCAUGUGGGCAUGUGUGAGAGCACAUCGAUUGCACAGACCAUCAGGGAGGGCAGCUCAGGGAAACUGUUUGUCCGGGGACAGGCCAGCUCUGCAACUGUAAGUGAGCAGCUAGCAGCAAGCCGGGGCAUGACCGUCAAAGGGGCCAGGCCUGGGCCCAAGGCAGAACUCC